UGGAGGGCAAGUCUGGUGCCAGCAGCCGCGGUAAUUCCAGCUCCAAUAGCGUAUAUUAAAGUUGUUGUGGUUAAAAAGCUCGUAGUUGAACCUUGGGCCUGGCUGGCCGGUCCGCCUCACCGCGUGUACUGGUCCGGCCGGGCCUUUCCCUCUGUGGAACCCCAUGCCCUUCACUGGGUGUGGCGGGGAAACAGGACUUUUACUUUGAAAAAAUUAGAGUGCUCCAGGCAGGCCUAUGCUCGAAUACAUUAGCAUGGAAUAAUAGAAUAGGACGUGUGGUUCUAUUUUGUUGGUUUCUAGGACCGCCGUAAUGAUUAAUAGGGACAGUCGGGGGCAUCAGUAUUCAAUUGUCAGAGGUGAAAUUCUUGGAUUUAUUGAAGACUAACUACUGCGAAAGCAUUUGCCAAGGAUGUUUUCAUUAAUCAGGAACGAAAGUUAGGGGAUCGAAGACGAUCAGAUACCGUCGUAGUCUCAACCAUAAGCUAUGCCGACUAGGGAUCGGACGAUGUUAUUUUUUGACUCGUUCGGCACCUUACGGGAAAC
rnacentral:rRNA from 1 species